rnacentral:rRNA from 1 species
CAGUCGCCGCGGGAAUACGUAGGUGGCAAGCGUUGUCCGGAAUUAUUGGGCGUAAAGGGCUCGCAGGCGGUUUCUUAAGUCUGAUGUGAAAGCCCCCGGCUCAACCGGGGAGGGUCAUUGGAAACUGGGAAACUUGAGUGCAGAAGAGGAGAGUGGAAUUCCACGUGUAGCGGUGAAAUGCGUAGAGAUGUGGAGGAACACCAGUGGCGAAGGCGACUUUCUGGUCUGUAACUGACGCUGAUGUGCGAAAGCGUGGGGAUCAAACAGGAUUAGAUACCCGGGUAGUCCCUGUCUCUUAUAU